GUUUCUAUAGUUAAGGGUUUAUUAACGGCAGCUUUUCAGGCUGCAAACCUUGGAUAGAGGCCAAGUAGGAACU
rnacentral:tRNA from 2 species